rnacentral:rRNA from 1 species
GCAUGUCCAAGUAUAAGCCCUCAUAGGGUGAAACUGCGGAUGGCUCAUUAAAUCGGUUGGAAUCUACACGAGAGUGUAACUUAAACGGAUAACCACGGAAAAUCUGCGGCUAAUACGUGCAUCAAAGUAGGCUUCUGGCUUACUGCAUUUAUCAGAUUGAAAGGAUGAGGGGUAACUCUCAACUUGAAUGAUGAUAAACUUAAAUAGCGGAUCGUACGAGCUUUGACUCGACGACAAUUCGUUCGACUUUCCGCCCUAUCGACUUUGGAUGGUAGUGUAGUGGACUACCAUGGUGGUUACGGGUGACGGAGAAUUGGGGUUCGAUUCCGGAGAGGGAGCCUGAGAGAUGGCUACCACUUCCAAGGAAGGCAGCAGGCGCGAAAAUUGCCAAACCUACAAAGUAGGAGGCAGUGACAAUAAAUAUCGGAGGGUCAAAAUGAUCCGACUGGAAUGAGAUGGAUGUAAAUAAAUCUACGAGAAGCAAUUG